rnacentral:rRNA from 1 species
UACGGGGGGAGCAAGCGUUGUUCGGAUUUACUGGGCGUAAAGGGCGCGUAGGCGGUCGUGACAAGUCACUUGUGAAAUCUCCGGGCUUAACUCGGAACGGUCAAGUGAUACUGUCGGACUAGAGUACAGAAGGGGCAACUGGAAUUCUCGGUGUAGCGGUGAAAUGCGUAGAUAUCGAGAGGAACACCUGCGGCGAAGGCGGGUUACUGGGCGUGAUACUGACGCUGAGGCGCGAAAGCCAGGGGAGCGAACGGG